rnacentral:rRNA from 1 species
ACUGGACGCUGGCGGUAUGCUUAACACAUGCAAGUCGAACGGCAGCAUGGUCUAGCUUGCUAGACUGAUGGCGAGUGGCGGACGGGUGAGUAACGCGUAGGAAUAUGCCUUGAAGAGUGGGACAACUUGGGGAAACUCAAGCUAAUACCGCAUGUACUCGAGAGAGUAAAGCUGGGGACCUUUAGGCCUGGCGCUUUAAGAUUAGCCUGCGUCCGAUUAGCUAGUUGGUAGGGUAAAGGCCGACCAAGGCGACGAUCGGUAGCUGGUCUGAGAGGAUAGUCAGCCAAGCUGGAACUGAGCGACGGUCCAGGCUCCGACGGGAGUCAGCAUUGGGGAAUAUUGGAAAAUGGGGGGAACCCUGAUCCAGCAAUGCCGCGUGUGUGAAGAAGGCCUGAGGGUUGUAAAGCACUUUCAGUGGGGAGGAGGUUUGGAAGGUUAAGAGCUAUUCAAAUGGACGUUACCCACAGAAGAAGCACCGGCUAACUCCGUGCCAGCAGCCGCCGUAA